rnacentral:misc_RNA from 1 species
GUUGAAGAACGCAGCGAAAUGCGAUACGUAAUGUGAAUUGCAGAAUUCAGUGAAUCAUCGAAUCUUUGAACGCACAUUGCGCCUGCCAGCACUCUGGCAGGCAUGCCUGUUCGAGCGUCAUUUCAACCAUCAAGCCCUAGGCUUGCGUUGGAGCCCUGCGGCUGCCGCAGGCCCCUAAAAGCAGUGGCGGGCUCGCUAUCACACCGAGUGCAGUAGAUUACUCUUCGCUCAGGGCGUGUGGCGGGUUCCAGCCGUGAAACCCCCUACUUCUCAAGGUUGACCUCGGAUCAGGUAGGAAUACCCGCUGAACUUAAGCAUAUCAAUAAGCGGAGGA